UCCUGACCAAUCAGUUCCCUCUGCCAAAACCACAACCACCUAACCAUUGGCUGGAUUGCUCCAUCAAUGAAAUCUCAGGAAUUAUCUCCCCACAUGAGCAAGAGAGGAUAAGGUGGAGAGGGAGUAAGGGAGUAAGAUCAGCAUGCUGCCAGACCACCAAAUAAUCCUUGAGGCCACUGCAUGCUGUGACAGGGGCCUGGAUAGUGACACACAUCUUCUUUAAGCUGCCUGCCUUCAGUGGUACCUUCCUUUUGGUGGGUCAGCAGGUAGCCUAGUUCUUAGAGCGUUGGGCCAGUAACCGAAAGGCUGCUAAAUCAAAUCCCUGAGCUGACAAGCAAAGGUACCUCUGGGUCUUCCUUUCCUGUGGCGGUCCUCAUGAGAGCCAGUUUCAUCAUAGCACUUCAUGUUUUUUGCGACUGCACUCAAAGAAACUUUCAAAGUUCUUGAAAUUUUUCGAAUUAACUGACCUUCAUGUCUUAAACUAAUGAUGGAAUGUCAUUUCUCUUUUCUUAUUUGAGCUGUUCUUGCCAUAAUAUCGACUUGGUCUUUUACCAAAUAGCGCUAUUUUCUGUAUACCACCGCUACCUUGUCACAACAAAACUGAAUGACUAAAACGCAUGAAGAUGGAAAGAAAUUCCACAAAUUAACUUUUAACAAGGCACACCUGUCAAUUUAAAUGCAUUCCAGGUGACUAACUCAUAAAGCUGGUUGAGAGAAUGCCAAGAGUGUGCAAAGCUGUCAUCAAGGCAAAGGGUGGCUACUUUGAAGAAUCUCAAAUAUACAAUACAUUUUGAUUUGUUUAACACUUUUUUUGGUUCCUCCAUGAUUCCAUAUGUGUUAUUUCAUAGUUUUGAUGUCUUCACUAUUAUUCUACAAUGUAGAAAAUAGUUGUUUUUUUUAACCUUCAAUGAGUCGGUGUGUCCAAAUGUUUGACUGGUAC
ensembl:lncRNA